rnacentral:ncRNA from 1 species
AAGCAGGCUUAUGCUUGAAUACAUUAGCAUGGAAUAAUAGAAUAGGACUUUGGUUCUAUUUUGUUGGUUUCUAGGACCGAAGUAAUGAUUAAUAGGGAUAGUUGGGGGCAUUAGUAUUUAAUUGUCAGAGGUGAAAUUCUUAGAUUUAUGAAAGACUAACUUCUGCGAAAGCAUUUGCCAAGGAUGUUUUCAUUAAUCAAGAACGAAAGUUAGGGGAUCGAAGACGAUCAGAUACCGUCGUAGUCUUAACCAUAAACUAUGCCGACUAGGGAUCGGACGACGUUUAAUUAUUGACUCGUUCGGCACCUUAUGAGAAAUCAAAGUUUUUGGGUUCCGGGGGGAGUAUGGUCGCAAGGCUGAAACUUAAAGGAAUUGACGGAAGGGCACCACCAGGAGUGGAGCCUGCGGCUUAAUUUGA